rnacentral:rRNA from 1 species
UAGCUUGCUAGAUUGAUGGCGAGUGGCGAACGGGUGAGUAAUACAUCGGAACGUGCCCUGUAGUGGGGGAUAACUAGUCGAAAGAUUAGCUAAUACCGCAUACGACCUGAGGGUGAAAGUGGGGGACCGCAAGGCCUCAUGCUAUAGGAGCGGCCGAUGUCUGAUUAGCCAGUUGGUGAGGUAAAGGCUCACCAAGGCGACGAUCAGUAGCUGGUCUGAGAGGACGAUCAGCCACACUGGGACUGAGACACGGCCCAGACUCCUACGGGAGGCAGCAGUGGGGAAUUUUGGACAAUGGGGGCAACCCUGAUCCAGCAAUGCCGCGUGUGUGAAGAAGGCCUUCGGGUUGUAAAGCACUUUUGUCCGGAAAGAAAUCGCACUUACUAAUAUUAGGUGUGGAUGACGGUACCGGAAGAAUAAGGACCGGCUAACUACGUGCCAGCAGCCGCGGUAAUACGUAGGGUACAAGCGUUAAUCGGAAUUACUGGGCGUAAAGCGUGCGCAGGCGGUUGUGCAAGACCGAUGUGAAAUCCCCGGGCUUAACCUGGGAAUUGCAUUGGUGACUGCACGGCUAGAGUGUGUCAGAGGGGGGUAGAAUUCCACGUGUAGCAGUGAAAUGCGUAGAGAUGUGGAGGAAUACCGAUGGCGAAGGCAGCCCCCUGGGAUAACACUGACGCUCAUGCACGAAAGCGUGGGGAGCAAACAGGAUUAGAUACCCUGGUAGUCCACGCCCUAAACGAUGUCAACUAGUUGUUGGGGAUUCAUUUCCUUAGUAACGUAGCUAACGCGUGAAGUUGACCGCCUGGGGAGUACGGUCGCAAGACUAAAACUCAAAGGAAUUGACGGGGACCCGCACAAGCGGUGGAUGAUGUGGAUUAAUUCGAUGCAACGCGAAAAACCUUACCUACCCUUGACAUGCCACUAACGAAGCAGAGAUGCAUUAGGUGCUCGAAAGAGAAAGUGGACACAGGUGCUGCAUGGCUGUCGUCAGCUCGUGUCGUGAGAUGUUGGGUUAAGUCCCGCAACGAGCGCAACCCUUGUCUCUAGUUGCUACGAAAGGGCACUCUAGAGAGACUGCCGGUGACAAACCGGAGGAAGGUGGGGAUGACGUCAAGUCCUCAUGGCCCUUAUGGGUAGGGCUUCACACGUCAUACAAUGGUGCAUACAGAGGGUUGCCAAGCCGCGAGGUGGAGCUAAUCCCAGAAAAUGCAUCGUAGUCCGGAUCGUAGUCUGCAAC